CUAACAAGAAUGUUAACUGGAUCAAUUAUAUCUACUAUAACCAACAAAGAUUUGUCAAUUAUACUAGAGAUGCCCUUCAGGGCUUGGCAGAACAGUUACAGACUACAUCCCAAAUUACAUUUCAUAAUCGAAUGGCCCUAGACAUGAUCCUAGCGGAAAAGGGGGGCCAUAGAGAAAUUAGAAAGUCUUUCUGACAAAUUAAAGAGGAACUCGGGAGCCCCCAAUUCAUGGGACAGAUGGUUUGGAUGGAUGAGUGGAUGGCAGAAAACUCUCCUUCAAGUAGGUAUAGCAGUUCUUACUGUGGUAAUUCUCUUUCUCUUCCUGAUUUGCUGUGUGAUGCAGAAAUAUUUACAGAACACUGUAGGUCAGACUAUUGACCGGACCACACCUACAUUCUACAUCAGGAUAUCGACAAUAUGGACUGUGACACCCUACACACAUCUCUUCAGUCCCACCACCUCAAACAGACAACUACUCCUGUAAAGAAGUUCCCUAUGUUAUGUACUAUUUGCAUUCCCUUUUUAUCCUCUAUUGCUGCCUAUUUCAUUCGGUAGAUGGAACUACCGAACAAGGACCACCCUCUGGCUCAUUAAACAUCAAAGGUUUAGGUGAAAUUGCUACCUCUGUCUGUGCGGCCAGCAUUCGUUAGUCGAAUGCCACGUGGCAGAGAAAACCACGGCCAUCUUUGUUCAUGCGAACAAAGGCAGCGGGACCUGGUCGUCAAGUGCAUGGAACUGUUUUGCGGACACUCGACUUCCCGAACACCGGUCCCAAACAGACGAACGCUGGAACUCUAUUUACCGAAUAGCUAGAAGAGCGCUAUUCGGUACUUUGGUGCAUUCAACAGAGGGGCACGAACGCUGCUAGGAGCCAGAGGGAUCCAUUCGGUAUUUUUAUUUGUUUUUAUGUUUUUUCGAAAGUGACCGGCAAAAUCCACCAAAUUCGUGGAGCUGUUUUGGGCAUGCAGCCUAGGGUGAGCCGGUCACACAAGACUUCCAUAAAAUUUGCGAACCCCUGAACCGAUCUGGGUGAAAUUCGAUAUGUUGGUCACCCAGAUCAGGGCUAUCAGGGGACACAUAAAAUAACCCCAGUAUAAAGGGGUGUUUAUAAGUUGAAAGUUGAAAGUUGGGGAAAAAGUGAUUUUUCAGCCCGGAGAUAAUUAAGUUACUAUUUUAUCAGACUAAAUUAUCUCCUGGGCUAGGGGAGGGAAUUGUGGGUGUAUGUUAACAUUUUACUGUUUGUGAUUGGUUACUCUUUGUCCCUCCCUGAGGGCUGUCCCCUUGCAUGGGGACUUGCAUAAAAGCUGUGUGCACCCAUUAAGGGACAGUUCAUUUUGUACCCUUCUUCUUGACUUCGGCUGAUGUUUGGGGAUUCGUGUGUUUCACUGAGGGAAUUAUCUGGUGAGACUAUUGGAAUUGCUAUAGGAUUCAUCUACCCUAACUACCGAACGGAGGGCUAUAAUCACUAAGGCUCUGGCAGUUCAGGAGGAAACUACCGAAGGAGGUUUAAGUAUACUUGGUUUCCUUACAACUUCCCUAUAGGGACAGCGUCUGUCUCUACGGGCAGAAGUCUGACGCGGGAGAUGUAGUGGGUUAGCCGCUACAGGAUACCUGUGCAGUGAAGCGUUCGAGGCCUGUUCAGACAGAUGAGCUGCAGCCAAUUAGGGACAUCAUUAGGGUUAGUUAGUAGUUGUCUCUCUCUUUCGUAAAUAGUCAUUUUAAGGGGGGACUGUUGUGAACAAAGAUAUUAACCCAAUCCAUGUUGUAAAAUGCCUAUUUACUCAGUAUAACUACAAUCAGCAUUAUUCAACUUUAUAUGUGAUUUACCUAAAAAUGGCUGCUAGGGAGUUUUCUCUUGACAUCGACUAACACCCUCAUUAACAAGAUGGCGCUGGAAUCUGGGGGAGACCUCCAAGAUACCAGUGACAUCACACCCGGUAGGAAGAGCAAUAAAGUGGAUCACUUAACACCUAACCAAUUAUUGAUGUAUUAUUCCAUGUUAUCUCUGACAAUGCAUAUGAUGUAAUUUUGCUUUAUAAGGGACAUGCCGCCCCCUCAGAAUAAACAUUCCUCAAGUUUUUAAUUCACACCAGAAACCUGUGUCUGGUGUGAAUUACUUUAGGAGCAUGCACGCAUUACUUCUUUAAUUUGGCUGGGGGCAGAUACGCAAGAUAAUCAAUUAAUUAAUUGAUUCCACAUCAGCAUAUACAUAACAAUUACAUAACAUCAAUUACAAAUAUACAUAUUUAAAAUGGGGCACUCCUAUUCCCAAAUAUGGUGUUCCGCCAUCCCCAAGAUGGUGAUGUCAUAUUAAACCCAAAUACCCUCCACAAUAUCUUCAUCAGCACCUUUUCCUCCUGUUUUCCAUCUGUACCCGUACUUCUGGUAUUGGCCAUUUAGAUAGACUGGGGGACAGGGCACUCAAAUGAUGAAAUUUAAUGUUGAAAAAUGCAAAGUUAUGCACUUCGGCGUAAAGAAUGCACAAGCAACGCAUACCCUUAAUGGAAGUGAAUUAGGGAUAACAAUACACGAAAAGGACUUGGGAAUUGUUAUAGACAACAAACUAUGUAACAAUGUGCAAUGGCAAUCAGCAGGGGCUAAGGCCAGUAAGGUAUUGUCAUGCAUGAAAAAGGGCAUUCAUUCUCGGGAUGAGAUAUCAUUUUGCCUCUUUAUAAAUCACUGGUAAGACCACAUAUUGAAAAUGCUUUGCAAUUUUGGGCACCUUUUCUAAAGAAGGAUAUUAUGGCACUAGAAAAAGUGCAGAGGUAGGCUACAAAAUUAAAAAAAGGAAUGGAACAUAUCAGCUAUGAAGAAAGGUUAACAAAUUUAAACCGCUUUAGUUUAGAAAUACUUUGCCUAAAAGGGGAUAUGAUAACAUUAUACAAAUAUAUUUAGGGAGAAUACAAACCAUUGUGUGAAAAUCUAUUCACAAACCAGACUUUACAUAGGACACAAGGUCAUGUGUUUGGACUGGAAGAGAGAAGAUUUAGUCUAAGGAUGUUUUUUUACUGUAAGAACAAUAAG
rnacentral:lncRNA from 1 species